rnacentral:lncRNA from 12 species
CUUGCAUACCAGGUGGUGGAACUGCAGCAGAGAAUCCAGAUGAAGGAAGUGACACUGGAUGAACAACACACCAAGCUAUGUGAGGUCCAAAACCAUCUCAGUGUUUUGGCGUCAGAGCACAGCAUGCUUCAGGAACACGUGACCGAGGUACAGACUAGAAACCGACUUCUGAAACAAGAAUAUGAUUCUCUGCUGGAGCAGCACCAGAACAUGGAGAGGACGUACCGACAAGAGAAACUCCGCAGCUCAGAGAUCCUGGAGAACAUGAUCCUUCCAAAACAGCAGGCUGCUGUCCGCAUGAACCAUCGCAAUGAGAAGAGAGUGAGAGCCAGAGAGGCCAGUCUUCACAAAGAGCUUCAGAUGGCUGCCAGUAAGAAUGUGAAUAUUAAUGAGUAA